CUUUUGGCACUGUGUUACACUGGGAGCUCAUGUUCAGCUGAUUCUCCACCAUGACCCCAAAUCUUUUCCGGCUUCCCUGCAGAGAGACCCCCAUCGUCCUCUGAGGGAGAAGUUUCACUCUGUUACGUAAGGCUGUUUGUGGUGCUGCCCGAGGCAGGAGGGAAGUAACUCCAGCUCAAGUGAGCAGCCGGACUCAGUGCUAACAAGCAGUGCCCCAGGCAAGAUCCGGGCCUCAUUGUGCCAGGUGCUGUACACACACAUAGCAAGAGACAGUCCUUGCCCUGAAGAAUUCACAAAGGAAUAAAGCAUGGGACGUGCUGUGUGGGUAACUUGUCCCUGUAGCAAUUACACCUGUUAACCGUCUCUAAAGAGAAAGCCAGCAGGUGUCCUUGCGCACAGCCUGUCUGUGCUGGGAAUAACACAGUGAAAGCAGGGACCUGUGCAGUCUGGAAAUACACCACUCAGGAGGAUGUGAGACACCCAAGAAAGGCUGCAGCUGGAGGCCUGAGAGAUGGACCACUGAGGGGAAAUACAGGCGCAGUUGCCCUGAAUUGACACCAUCAUCGGUCAGAAUUCUCUUUCCCUCCCAUCGGUGCUUGUAGAUGGUGCUCAGUAGCACUAACUUGCAAUUGUUUCAGUGUGCCCCAGAACUCUCAGCACACAGCAAAUGCACUCUUUCUACCAGCCCGGACCCCAAUCCCAUCUCAUGUUACUGCUCAGUAAAACGGCACGAGCCACACUCCGUUCUUAUCCAGCACACAGUGGGAAAACCCAGCACUUGACCGAACAGCCCCAGCACAUAAGGUUCUUGGAGUUUAUCACUUGGACGUUGAUUUUGGCAAUUGCUCACCCUUGCUCGUGGGAGCUGCUUUGCGAUCCCACGGUCGCCUGUUAAUACCAGCAGUGACGUUGUAAUGGACCUGCUGGACUAUCUGCAGCCGCACUGUUCCCUCUUUGCCUAGGGUACCAAAUAGAGGAAACCAAAGGACCCAAUUGCCUGUCAUUCUCUCUGUCCCACUCUAUGCCGCAAAGGGGAUAACUUGUGUCACAUAGUCUCCGGUCAUACUUGUACUGCUGUGUAAUUAACCUUGCACUCCCUUCAGUGCUGCACAAGGGCUAGCAAGAUCAAGGCCUUUCUGGCCCACAGGAGAUCUCUGCCUGAUGCCGGCAAGUUCCCAGAAAACAGCGCUGCUAAGAAUGGCGUCCUGAAGAUGUUGAUUUCAGUAACAGGACACAAGUGGAACCAAGUAGCCCAAAUGUGGCAGUGGGGCAUAGCAAGUCAACACCCCUUGCUUCCCACACUCUCUCAACCCCCUCCCUCCCACAAAUCUGUACCCAUUGGUCCCUCAUAAGGGAAAACACUGCCCCAUAAUAAAGAAACAGAGCCUUAUUUGUGAUUUAAAAGCUGGCCCAUCAUAUGUUUCUCCCAGAUACCAAUCUGCACAGUCAGCCACAACUGAUAAGUAAUUGAAACCAUACGUGUUCCAGAAGAUUUUUUUUUUUCCUUUCCCAUGCUCUAUAUUUAUGGCUUUGCUAACAUUUACCGUAUAUGCAGCUAGGGCAAAGAGAGGGCUGAAACAAUGACGAAGAACUCCUAGCAUCUCUGGAGGAAAAGCAGACAUUUUCAGGUAGGGUUGUUAUUUAUUCCUUCCUUGCUUUUAACCCACGUGUAGUUUGCAUGUAUAUAGCUCAUCUCAGUUGCAGAUUUCAAAGAGCUUUAGAAAAUGUGACUUAAUUCUCCUAUGCAGUGUAGUUGAAGCUGUAAGAUGUCUAGUGGUAGCCUAAGGUAUAGGAAGGGCGUUUAAGAGUAUGUCCACAGUGCAGCUGAGAUAGGAUUUCCAGCUUGGGUAGACAUGCGCACACACUGGCUUUGAACAAGCUAAAAUGCUGAAAACAUCAGGGUAGCCACUGCGGCAUAGACUAGCUGCCCAAGUACAGUACAGCUGGUCCUUAGGUAAACACUCGGGCAGCUAGCGCCCCGUGCCACUAUGGCUACAUUGCUAGAUUUAGCAUGCUGCCGCAGUCAAAGCUACCGUGUGUGUGUCUACCCAAGCUGGAAACGACAUCUGCAAUGUGGAUAUACCAUAAGUGAUGUACCCAAGUCUAUCCAGGGAGCCAGUGACAGGAAUGGGGAGUCGAGCCUAUGAGUUAGGGAGUCCCAUCCUUCGCUCUAACCAUUAGACAGCACAUAAUGUUGAUGGGUCACUUCCUUUAAUACCCUGCUCAGCAUGUACUCGGGCAAAACUUCACUGGGUCAGACCCCUAGGGGCUGAAUCCCUAUGACUCCCAGUGAAAUCAAUAAGCUGGGUCUUAUGACCCCUGAGCUUUGGGGAAGUUUGGAUCUGGCUCUGAACUCUGCAGCUCAAGUGCUGGCAGCUACUGCCUCUCGCUAAAUGCAGAGAGGAACAGGGGAGGGCUCCAGGAAGUCAUGACAGCUUCUGGAUUUUUUUUUUCUUUAUCUCAGCGCCUUUGUGACUUAAUAGUGUGAGAGGUUUCCAGAUAGUGAGGCCUGAAAGGGAGACUUCAAAGAUACCGUGGGAAUGUAAUGGUGUGAGAAACUAGGACCAGGCACCCAGGCCAACAACCGAAAUGUAGCGGGCUAGCUCGGCAGCAGCAGAUCAUCUGCAUGCACCCCAGUGUACAGUUCUCAUUAACAGCCACUCACGUGAGAUGUUUCUGCACUUUCUGUGAACGUGCCAGAUUUUGGAGAGUGAGGUUGGCAGGCAUGGAAGGGGCUGCUCCAUUUCUGAAAGUGUGAGCAUUGCACGCACAACCUAACGUGUGCAAGGGGGAGGCUCUGCCCUACAGUUUUGAAACCGAUCGCCGAGACCGGAGCUGGAAGGUGCUUGCACUGACAUGUCUCCUGAAGAGUGAAUUUACGCCUUCCUCCUCUAGUGUAGACAUGUCCUGAGCCACGAAGCCGUGUGAGCUUGUGCCUGGUGCAGGGAGAAGACCGAGAGCUUCAGAUUCCCAUUCUUUCAACCUACAGUUAAGAUCCAUAGGGUGAAAUUCACCCCCGCGCUGUAGAAAGCCAGUGCCAAACUGAGGCACCAUUUAGGUCCACUUAAACCCUGUUUUGAGGGCUAGUCACUACUGCACACCUAGCAACUGAGAAACGUCUCAAACAAAACAAAAUCAAGUUGUUUGCUUCGGCCCAGAAUGUUAGCAAGAGGCAUGGGAACACCCUCGGCCUCCCUGCUGCUGCAGAGCAGAUUUGGAAAUGAUUCUGGAUCCACCUUUACUCUGAAACUUCAAGUCUGCCAGACAAAACGCUGAUGAUUUGAAGAACACAGGCAAAUAGUUCUGCCUUGAUGUAACUUUUAAAUACCAUCCUGGGAGAACUUUGUUUCCCUGGUCUGUUUUACCCUGUUUCAGUCCUCUCAUUUCUUAAUUUUUUUUCUUUUUUGCAACAUUAAUAAAUAAUACAGAAUCAAAACUAUAAUUAGGCCAGUUCCUCAGUUGGUGUAAAUAGGCAUCAGUGGAAUUAAUGCAAAAAAAAUCAUUAUAACCAAUAUCAGGUCAAAGGAAAGUAAACAAGUGCUUGAUGCUUUAAUCUUUCUUUCUUUUUUCACAAGCAGGCUCAGAGCCAGAUCAUGAGAUCAGCGUAUUGGGUGAAAUCCUCAGCUGGUGUAAAUAAGUAAUUGUACCAGCUGGGGAUCUGGCUCACCAUCUACAAAUUGAUGUUUUUGGAACUGAGG